UACGUAGGGGGCGAGCGUUGUCCGAAGUUACUGGGCGUAAAGCGCGCGUAGGCGGUUUCUUAAGUCUGGGGUGAAAGGUUCAGCGCUCAACGUGAACAGUGCCCUGGAUACUGGGAGACUUGAGUUAGGGAGAGGGUAGUGGAAUUCCUGGUGUAGCGGUGAAAUGCGUAGAUAUCAGGAGGAACACCAAUGGCGAAAGGCAGCUACCUGGGCCUAUAACUGACGCUGAGGUGCGAAAAGCGUGGGGAGCAAACGGG
rnacentral:rRNA from 1 species